ACAGGGGCUCCCAGCGGCCUCCCGCACCGAAGGGACCCUGGGCGUCUGAGGCCCUGAUCCGGGCGGGCCUUCAGGAUGUUAGCAGUCCCUGUCCGGUUGAAGGCCUGCGGGGCGGGGGCGGGGUGGCGCCCAGGACGACUCCCCGGGCUCAGCUUGGCUGCCUGCCUCCUUCUUAACCAACUUGGAAAGCUGUAUUUGUUCCCAUGAUUCAGCAAACAAUGAGUACCUACUGUGUGUAGAAGCAGCAGGACAGCCUGUCAUCACUGGGAAAGAGGCCAGAAGAGCCGUUUGGCCAGGGUCUCCAAUUUAGGCUUUCAACAUUAUCUCUAAAGAAGGUUAUACAUUAUGUCGGCUCCACUGGCUGAUGGGAUCAAAGACCCUCCUUGUAUAUCCUUAAACCUGUACUCUAUUACCAGGCCACUGUGCCUGUGGAGCACUGUAAGUUCCUACCUUUUAAUAAAUUUUAUAAUUAUCUUGUGAGCA
rnacentral:lncRNA from 10 species